UGUCCCCUCUGUGCCCCUCCUCACCCCCACCCCCUGCACCAGAGGGGAGAGGGGCGGGGCCGGGGGGUGGAGCCAGAGUUCCAGAGGCCUGACCCCGUCCCUCGAUGGGGUUUUUGAGCCCCUGCAGCUGCUCCGCCCGGGGACACCGGGCACAGGAAGGAAUAAGUGCACUUUCUAAUGCGACUCGGCCUGGGUUUCUGUCACCUGUACCCGCGAGACCACACACUCUGUCAGGAGACUCAGGACACAUGCGAUCCCUGUCCGGGCUGCUCGGGCCAUCCCUGCUGGAGAGGCCAGAAGGAAAGCAGAAGGCGGGCGGCUUUUGCCUUUUGGCCGACUGGAGCAAGUCAUCAUUUGCCCCAAGUGGGGCCUUUGGCACGUCCACAGUCCUCUUGACUGGAACAUAAAACCCCGGUCUUCUAGCGUGGGAUGUCAUUCAGCCCUAACCAGAAGCGAAGCACCGAUACGUGUCAUAACUUGGAUGAGCUCGAAAGCAGGGGCCCCAUCGCGGCUGGCUAGGACUCGCCGGCUUCAGCCCCUUUAAGACGACUUUGGAGGACCCAGUUUCAAAGCCCGGGGCGACUCUCUGGCCCCCGCCUCUAUGGUGCGUCGUCACUUCCGGCCGGAAGUGCGUGUGCAGCGCGGCUUCGGCGCAGGGGGCGUGGAGUGAGCGGAGGCGCGCGCUUCCUCGUGGGGUUCGUCAGAAAACGAGGACUGCCAGCCCCCGGCGGUGAGACGCGGGCAGGCCGCGGGCGGGGCGAGCCCUCCGCGCUCGGUGCGGGAGUCCAGAGAUGACAAGCAGGCAGAGAGAGAGAGGGGAGAAGCAGGCUCCCCGCUGAGCAGAGAGCCCGAUGCGGGGCUUGAUCCCAGGACCCCCGGACCAUGACCUGAGCCGAAGGCAGAGGCUUUAACCCACUGAGCCACCCAGGCACCCCUACGUUUCUGAUUUUAAAGAGGAUGAGGUACUAACGUCUGUAAUCGCACAAGAACACUAGGUGAGUCCACGGGAAGAUCUGUGUGCGGGGUGAAUGCUUCCGUGUACCUGAAGUGUAAUUGUUGGGAGCUUGGAACUUUCCAGCUUCCUUGGGUUUCAUUUACUCAACCAUGUAGCUUCUGAAUGCCGACCUGCUGAAGACCCUGUUUUGUAUGGAUACAAAUAAAAGGCGUCCGUCCCCAAGGAGACUUUUUCAUGCACUUUAUGGUCUUGGUCCCCACCGACCUUGCGCGCAGUGUGUCACCUCUGCUGUUGAGGUGCACAGUUGGCGGCACGGUUCCCAGCUGAGGAGACUGAGCUGUUCGCGCUUCUCUGUAGGACGUGUGGGUGCUGGGGCUCUCUAGAAGCGGGGGGCAUGUGGAGGGAGGUGACCUCAGUCUCCGUGAUCUAGGAGGAAGGGGUGGCGAGUGUAGUUUAGGGUCGUGUUCAGCUUGUGCAGACUUCACUUUGGAUAGUUUUCCAGAAAGUGGCUGGUGGCCUCAGAACUGGUCGCCGGUAGCUGCUGGGUGCUGCCCACCUCUGCUUCCUCACCUGGGUCUCAAGCCCCGUGCGGGUGCCGUCCCCCACGGAGAAUUCUCCCGGCCUUCCUCUCUCUGAAUGCUCACCACGUAUCGAUGUGAGGAAAGGAGAAGCCUUUCCUCUAUUUCCUGCUGUCUUUACGUGACAGGUACGACCUGUACAUGUUUUAUGUAGUCUGGGACGGUUAUCCUGACCUUCAGACCUAGUGCCACACCCAGAGUUCCUGCCUGUCGUCCUCGCUUGUGUCUGUUUUUGCUGUACUUAGUGAAUCUCUUGCCUCAGCAUCCUCUGGUCCAGCCCAACUCCGGGAGGGGCUGCCCCACGGGUUCUGCAGAGCCAAGAACGUAACUUCAGACCUUGCCAGGGAAGCCGUUGGUGGGCUUUGUCACAGACCCCUAGUCUGAGAGCCCGUCACUGUGGAGAGGAGGAAUGGCCCCCCGGGGGACGGCAGCCGGCCUGUCAGCCCUGAAGGGCAGAAGUACCCGCUCUGUCGCAGCCCGAGCGUUAGCGGGACUUUCCCAUCCCGGCUCCGUCCCUGGCCCACUGUGUCACGUUAGGCUGGUCACUUCCCUGUUUCGUAGUAAAAUGGGGACCACGGGGACGGUGACUCCCAGAGGUGGGCACCUGUGAGGAGUCAGCAAGUCGUGUGAUGUGCUCAGGAGCACGGCAGACCCACGGACUGGCUGUUGCCCAUUCUCGGAUUUUCAGGGCGUUUCGUGGUGUUUCCGGCCACGAGCUUCCAGAGCGCUGGCGUGCAGCAGGUCCUGGCAGACAAGGUGCCGUCUGUCGCAGGAGGGUCCUGCCUGCUCCCAGGUGUGGGAGCUCGGGCAGGUUUGCUAUAGCCUCUUGGCCUUUUCACCGGGUUCGUGUUCACGAUUGGGUCACUCACGAGAGCACAUAACUCUAGGGUGGGCCCUGCCCUCCUCUGCAUGGGGGACCUUAGAGGAAGCAUGAUAAUUGCCCAAAUUAACAUCGUGUUGGGAUACGUGUCCUGGGGGAAAUCAUACAUACUGGUAUUUCUGGAAGAAAUAGGUUGGAUCCCGCUCACUGCCUUGUUCCUGGGUGUCUCUCUGGAAUGUGAACGUCCACUCGGGCACAGCAGCUGUGGACGGGGCCUCGUGGCCUCGGUGUGUCAUGGAGCAGCGGUGGGGCUCUGUAGACUGACUCAGUGAGGUUCUUCAACCUUUGGUUCGAUAGAUGAAUCAGAAGCAUUAGCUCCCCGCCCCCCGCACCCGCCAUAGGAACAUCGUGUUUCUAGCACAGAAAAUGAUGGCACAGGAGUGCUUUAUGUUGGUGGGGUCAGCUGUGGUGUACAGGGGCCUCUCGUUCUCGUUUGGUGUUAGCGUCAACAGAGGAGGGUGCCCGCGUGUCCCCCGUGCGUCCAUGUGGCUCGGUCUGAGACCUCUCAGGGCAGGAGAGCCUGCGGAGAAUAGAAGGACGGACGAAGAGAGCCGCUCUGAUUCAGAGGGGUGUGGGCUGAGAUCCUGCAGUCUUCCCCAGCAGCCCCUCCCCUCCUCACCCCUCCAGAUGCUUCCCCAGUGUGGGUGCUUCACUGAACCUCUGCCCCUUUCCUCUGGGGCCGCACCCCAAGACGACAGCCUCCAUCCAUCCUGCACCUUGGUGCGGUGUGCGCGGCUGUCGGUGAUGGGAAGGAAGCCUGGAACCCACAGGAGGGGCUCAGAAUUGCAUUUGGCUGAGCCCCUACCUGAGAAUAUUCCCCAGCUGUCCCCUGCUCAGUCACUCGGUUCCAGCUGGCCUGGGCGCGGCGAUGGUGUACUUGCUUACCCCAAAGAACACAUAGCUAAAAUAGGCUGCCCAUAUGACAUGGACAGGCUUCAGCUUUUCUGGGUUUUGUUCCCCUGGAUUAUGUAAGAGGGUUGAGGCCGGCAGGAGUCCAGUCUUUUCAAAGAGCUGGGCCUUUUAAUAAUAGUAGUGGGUAAUGAAAUGCACAGUCCGUAAGAAGCAAUGUUUUUUAAUGUUAAAACAUGGAACACAAAAGGCCUGUCCCAGAAAAGGGACUAAGAAAACAGUUAGCCUGCUGCACGGUUUUGAACUUCUCUCUUCGUCCGCUAGAGGACGCAGUUCUGGUGCGCCACCCUGUUCGCUUUUGUAACUUGGUCCAAUUUUAGUUUUUAAUUUCGCCAAGCCCUUAUUUCACCAGAAAGUUCUGCAGAAGUUUAAUCUACAGGGUUGGGCUCCUUGUUAGGACUCUGCCAGGAGGUCCCCAUUACACACAGCUCCUGGGAAGCAUUCGUCAUGUCGUGGACGAGCCAAGCCCUCGCCCAAGCACGGGACACGCACUUGGGGAGAAGAGCGCGAGAGCAUGUCCUAAAGCAACUUUCCGUCCACACUCACUCCGGGGGACCAGUUCUAGGCGGUGUGAGAGAUCUUUCUUGGUAAGGACUUGCGUGCAACGCAUACCAGUCCUCAAGGCCUCAGACGGUAUGGGACCAUUUUCCCCUGCUGGCAGAGUAUUGGCCUUCGAAGUAUUUCCUGUUCUUGGGCUAAGAGACUGGCCCAGUGCGGGGACCUGUGAUCUAUGCAGAGGGAAUGUGCAGCUGUGGGAGGCGCCCUCUCACUUCUGUUGAACCGUAACCCUGUUGUUCCUCAGGGAACUAACCUGGACUUGGGAAGAGACAUUUGGAUAGAAGUUCCUGGGAUAGGCUGUUGCCUUUCAUCUUGUAGAUGAAGCCAGAGACCGCCCAGACGUCCUGUCUCACCCACUGUCUGUUCUCUAGCCUCUUGCCACUUGUAGGAGCCAUGUACUUCUUGUUUUUUUUUUUUCCAACAAAGAGUAGAUCUGUGUCAUUGAAAUUACUACCAAGAAGACAACAAAGUAUAUUCUCCUCUAACCUUCACAGGGCAGGGGCCUGUUUUGGUUUUACAGGGUUACACAUAAUGACUGUGUUUAAAAGCGAUUCUUCAUUCCAAUAUUUUUUUCAGAUCAAUUAUGCAACGGCAGCAGAAAACUAGUUCUUUUCUUGCAAGUGUAAUUAAAAAUGGAGCCGAGUGAGUCAGGGGAAGGUCACGUGUCUCAGGCUUGGCAGCCGAGCCGUCGUGUCCUGGUUACGCAACACUGUUUUCGACCUGCGGCCCCCGUCAGCAAAACCUUCAGAUGAUCGUAUGGAAUUAAAAUAAGACUUUAACUUUCUUUGAACAACAUGUUCUUUGUUAAAACCAGACUUGGGCUUUUAAUGCUGACUUCGACUAGAGGCUCUGUAAACCGUAUUCCAUGCCCGUGGCUGUCCCCGCGGAACACAUUUCUUAAAGUCAAACUCCCCACUUUCGUGCCCCUUUGAAACCUUGACUUGGUUGUCAACCGUCACGAAGACUUAUGGGCAAAGCGUCCCCAAAUCCCCUUCACUCCUGUGCCGUCUCUGUUCCAAAUUGCCAUACCCCUUUGAAAGUUAAUGGAGGAGAGAAAAAAUAUUAAGAAGUCUAAAUGAGGGGAGCCUGGGUGGCUCAGUGGGUUAAGCCUCUGCCUUUGGCUC